rnacentral:rRNA from 1 species
GCUUAGAGGCAGCCACUCGUUCAAAGAGUGCGUAAUAGCUCACUGGUCGAGUGAUUUUGCGCGGAAAAUUUAACGGGGCUAAGCGUAUAACCGAAGCUUGGGCUUGCACGAAAGUGCAGGGGUAGGGGAGCGUCGUGUACGGGGUGAAGUCGCACCGGAAGGAGCGGUGGACUGUACACGAGUGAGAAUGCCGGAAUGAGUAGCGAGAAUUAUGUGAGAAUCAUAAUGGCCGAAAAUCUAAGGUUUCUUGGGGAAGGUUCGUCCGCCCAAGGUAAGCCGGGAGCUAAGGCGAGGCCGAGAGGCGUAGUCGAUGCACAUACGGUUGAAAUUCCGUAGCCACCUUAUCGAUAAAAGCUGACACAUGGAGAUAGCGGGACCCGGGCGUUGGUUGACCCGGGCGAAAGGGACCGAACAUAAGUAGGGAAGUCCGCGAUGCUCUGUGGCGAGAAAAGGCGAAGAUAGGGUGCCCGUACCGCAAACCGACACAGGUAGAUGAGGAGAGAAUCCUAAGGCCAACGGGAGAAGGGUUGUUAAGGAACUCGGCAAAUUGACCCCGUAACUUCGGGAUAAGGGGAGCCUCCUACGGGAGGCCGCAGUGAAUAGGCCCAAGCAACUGUUUACCAAAAACACAGGUCUCUGCUAAAUCGAAAGAUGACGUAUAGGGGCUGACGCCUGCCCGGUGCUGGAAGGUUAAGAGGAGGACUUAGCGCAAGCGAAGGUCUGAAUUUAAGCCCCAGUAAACGGCGGCCGUAACUAUAACGGUCCUAAGGUAGCGAAAUUCCUUGUCAGGUAAGUUCUGACCCGCACGAAUGGCGUAAUGAUUUGGGCACUGUCUCAACAGCCCGCCCGGCGAAAUUGUAGUACUGGUGAAGAUGCCAGUUACCCGCAACUAGACGGAAAGACCCCAUGGAGCUUUACUGCAGCUUAAUACUGAGAUUCGGUAAUUCAUGUACAGGAUAGGUGGGAGACUUAGAAGCAGAGUCGUUAGGCGCUGUGGAGUCACCCUUGGGAUACCACCCUUGGAUUGCUGGGUUUCUAACCUGCGGCCAUGAAUCUGGUCGGGGGACACUGUUAGGCGGGCAGUUUGACUGGGGCGGUCGCCUCCUAAAGUGUAGCGGAGGCGCUCAAAGCUUGGCUCAGCAUGGAUGGAAAUCAUGCAAUGAGUGUAAACGUAUAAGCCAAGUUGACUGCGAGACCGACGGGUCGAGCAGGUACGAAAGUAGGAGUUAGUGAUCCGGUGGUAUGUGAGUGGAAAUGCCAUCGCUCAACGGAUAAAAGCUACCCUGGGGAUAACAGGCUGAUCUCCCCCAAGCGUCCACAGCGACGGGGAGGUUUGGCACCUCGAUGUCGGCUCGUCGCAUCCUGGGGCUGUAUUCGGUCCCAAGGGUUUGGCUGUUCGCCAAUUAAAGCGGCACGCGAGCUGGGUUCAGAACGUCGUGAGACAGUUCGGUCCCUAUCUGUUGCGGGCGUAAGAGAUUUGAAGGGAGCUGUCCUUAGUACGAGAGGACCGGGAUGGACUGACCGCUGGUGCACCAGUUGUCCUGCCAAGGGCAUAGCUGGGUAGCUACGUCGGGACGAGAUAAACGCUGAAGGCAUCUAAGCGUGAAACUCCCCCUAAGAUAAGAUCUCUCAUCCUGAAAAGGAGUAAGGCUCGUCGUAGACUAUGACGUUGAUAGGUCAGGGGUGUAAGCACGGUAACGUGUGUAGCUGACUGAUACUAAUAAGCCGAGGGCUUGACCU